UCCACUGAAGAAAUUAAUGUAGUAUGGAGGUGAACCGAUGAAUCUAAUUCUAAUUCAAUUGAUAGCGUAAAGCUUGAGGAGUGAAGGCCAUCAAAAGUACCUGCAGAUCUCCCGCUCUGAUGGUGCCCUUAUGCCCUGCAAAAUCUUGAUUCUACAUAGUGUGUUGGGCACCACUAGAGAAUGGACAAGUUGAUCUUAUCGAAGAAUGGGUGAGUUAUAUACUCCACUCGGCUGCACCAUCUUUACUGCUCAAGUAUUGGUGGCCAUGGAAGGUAAUGGCACUCUACCACUUGCAUUUCCGUAGUGCUUGCGCAUUUGGUAUGUCAAUUUGGAUCUGUCUAAACUAUAAAUAACUCAUUUGUGCAUAGUUUAUUUCUGUUUACAGCAUUCUUUCCCUUCAUAUUUUGUGAUAUUCACAAAAUGUUUGGUAAUAAGAAAUAAAAUGAUUAUUCUUUGAGGAAUA